GUACGGAGCCUGCUGCAACAGUGAGCCAGAGCCUGUUGCACCAGGGUUUAACCUUGGCCUGCUCCCUGCUUUCAGGAAGGGAAGGCCCUGGAAGGCCUUGAACCCUGCCACCUCCGCCCCUCCUGGGAUAAGGUUCCAACACCCCACGGAUGGGCCCAGGGCCCCCCUGCAACUUCUCCACCGCCGCCCACCGGUGCAACGUGGGUGGCCUACCGGCUGCAGUGAUCAUCAUCCCAACCCUGCUCUCCUCGUCGUCUCUCCUGAUCAUCAGCUUCAUCUUAUGGAAAACUUGCCGCCGGUUGUCCCGGGUCACCCAGCCCCGCCUGCCAUCCACAUGAGGGGCCCAGGUGCUGCUGGAUGUAAUCAUCAACUCCGCAGGUCAAGGAAGCCCAUUCAGCAGCCCCCGUAACUGUGGCUCUGGGUGACUAUGAGACCAACGCUGCCCUUACCACACUGCCCCCUUACCUUCCAGGGAUGCUCCCUGCCUGGUGGGGCCUCCACAGGGAACCUGACCAAGGAGCAGGAAGUCCUCCUCCGGGGACUGAAUGAGAAUGCUCCGAGUUUCACCCCAGCUGUGGCAUGGCUUAGCACAGUAUCCAAGGCUUGCAGUCCUUCAACCUUUCCACUUCUCAUAUCUCUAAACACUAGCACUGCCAGUGCUUUCCUGAGGUCAUGGUGUUUCAGCUUUUUCUAUGGUUCUUAGAGGAGAACAUAGCCCUUUAGCCCCUGGCAGGCAAGGCUUGGAUGGCACAGAAAUUUCCAGGAGACUCCUCGUCUACCACCUGAGACCUGGGAUUCAGAGGAGCAACAAAGUGAGGAAAUUGGGUCUCACACAGCUUAAUACAAAAG
ensembl:lncRNA